rnacentral:rRNA from 1 species
GACGAACUCUGGCGGCGUGCUUAACACAUGCAAGUCGAACGGUAAGGCUCCAGCUUGCUGGGGUACACGAGUGGCGAACGGGUGAGUAACACGUGGGUGACCUGCCCUGCACUUCGGGAUAAGCCUGGGAAACUGGGUCUAAUACCGGAUAGGACCGCACCGUGAGGGUGUGGUGGAAAGUUUUUUCGGUGUGGGAUGGGCCCGCGGCCUAUCAGCUUGUUGGUGGGGUAAUGGCCUACCAAGGCGGCGACGGGUAGCCGGCCUGAGAGGGUGGACGGCCACAUUGGGACUGAGACACGGCCCAGACUCCUACGGGAGGCAGCAGUGGGGAAUAUUGCACAAUGGGCGGAAGCCUGAUGCAGCGACGCCGCGUGGGGGAUGACGGCCUUCGGGUUGUAAACUCCUUUCACCAUCGACGAAGGGUUUCUGACGGUAGAUGGAGAAGAAGCACCGGCUAACUACGUGCCAGCAGCCGCGGUAAUACGUAGGGUGCGAGCGUUGUCCGGAAUUACUGGGCGUAAAGAGCUCGUAGGUGGUUUGUCGCGUCGUCUGUGAAAUUCCGGGGCUUAACUCCGGGCGUGCAGGCGAUACGGGCAUAACUUGAGUACUGUAGGGGAGACUGGAAUCCCUGGUGUAGCGGUGAAAUGCGCAGAUAUCAGGAGGAACACCGGUGGCGAAGGCGGGUCUCUGGGCAGUAACUGACGCUGAGGAGCGAAAGCAUGGGGAGCGAACAGGAUUAGAUACCCUGGUAGUCCAUGCCGUAAACGGUGGGCGCUAGGUGUGGGUUUCCUUCCACGGGAUCCGUGCCGUAGCUAACGCAUUAAGCGCCCCGCCUGGGGAGUACGGCCGCAAGGCUAAAACUCAAAGGAAUUGACGGGGGCCCGCACAAGCGGCGGAGCAUGUGGAUUAAUUCGAUGCAACGCGAAGAACCUUACCUGGGCUUGACAUAUACAGGAUCGCGCCAGAGAUGGUGUUUCCCUUGUGGCUUGUAUACAGGUGGUGCAUGGUUGUCGUCAGCUCGUGUCGUGAGAUGUUGGGUUAAGUCCCGCAACGAGCGCAACCCUUGUCUUAUGUUGCCAGCACGUUGUGGUGGGGACUCGUAAGAAACUGCCGGGGUUAACUCGGAGGAAGGUGGGGAUGACGUCAAAUCAUCAUGCCCCUUAUGUCCAGGGCUUCACACAUGCUACAAUGGUCGGUACAGUAGGUUGCCAGUCCGUGAGGGCGAGCUAAUCCCGCAAAGCCGGUCUCAGUUCGGAUCGGGGUCUGCAACUCGACCCCGUGAAGUCGGAGUCGCUAGUAAUCGCAGAUCAGCAACGCUGCGGUGAAUACGUUCCCGGGCCU